AUUGAACGCUGGCGGCAGGCUUAACACAUGCAAGUCGAACGGUAACAUAAAGAAGCUUGCUUCUUUGAUGACGAGUGGCGGACGGGUGAGUAAUGCUUGGGAAUCUAGCUUAUGGAGGGGGAUAACUACGGGAAACUGUAGCUAAUACCGCGUAGAAUCGAGAGAUGAAAGUGUGGGACCUCCGGGCCACAUGCCAUAGGAUGAGCCCAAGUGGGAUUAGGUAGUUGGUGAGGUAAAGGCUCACCAAGCCGACGAUCUCUAGCUGGUCUGAGAGGAUGACCAGCCACACUGGGACUGAGACACGGCCCAGACUCCUACGGGAGGCAGCAGUGGGGAAUAUUGCGCAAUGGGGGCAACCCUGACGCAGCCAUGCCGCGUGAAUGAAGAAGGCCUUCGGGUUGUAAAGUUCUUUCGGUAGCGAGGAAGGCAUUUAGUUUAAUAGACUAGGUGAAUGACGUAA
rnacentral:rRNA from 1 species